rnacentral:rRNA from 1 species
UGAAUACGAGACGCUAAGGCGUUGAAGUAGUGUAUGUCAUACUUCCAAGAAAAGCUUGCACUGUCAUAGAUAAAAAACGCCUGUACCAUAACCGACACAGGUGGGUAGGUAGAGUAUACUAAGGGGCGCGAGAUAACUCUCUCUAAGGAACUCGGCAAAAUAACUCCGUAACUUCGGGAGAAGGAGUGCCUUAUUUAUAAGGCUGCAAUAACAAGAUCCAAGCAACUGUUUAUCAAAAACACAGGUCUCCGCUAAGUCGUAAGACGAUGUAUGGGGGCUGACGCCUGCCCAGUGCCAGAAGGUUAAAGAAGUUGGUUAGCAAUAGCGAAGCUGAUAACUGAAGCCCUGGUGAACGGCGGCCGUAACCAUAACGGUCCUAAGGUAGCGAAAUUCCUUGUCGGGUAAGUUCCGACCCGCACGAAAGGCGUAAUGAUUUGGAUACUGUCUCGGAGAGGGGCUCGGUGAAAUAGACUUGUCUGUGAAGAUGCGGACUACCUGCACCAGGACAGAAAGACCCUAUGAAGCUUUACUGUAACUUGAGAUUGAAAUUGGACUUUAUUCGCGCAGUAUAGGUGGUAGGCGUUGAUUGUAAUCUUGCGGGAUUAUUGGAGCCAUCAGUGAGAUACCACCCUUGUAAUGUUAGAUUUCUAACUUUGAAUCAUUAUCUGGUCAAAGAACAGUUUCAGGCGGGCAGUUUGACUAGGGCGGUCGCCUCCUAAACGGUAACGGAGGCGUACAAAGGUUUCCUCUGAACGGUUAGAAAUCGUAUCUAGAGUGUAAAGGCAUAAGGAAGCUUGACUGUGAGACCUACAAGUCGAGCAGGGACGAAAGUCGGUCUUAGUGAUCUGACGGUACUGAGUGGAAAGGCCGUCACUCAACGGAUAAAAGUUACUCUAGGAUAACAGGCUGAUCUCCCCCAAGAGUUCACAUCGACGGGGAGGUUUGGCACCUCGAUGCCGGCUCAUCGCAUCCUGGGGCGGUAGUACGUCCCAAGGGUUGGGCUGUUCGCCCAUGAAAGCGGUACGCGAGCUGGGUUCAGAACGUCGUGAGACAGUUCGGUCCAUAUCCGGUGUAGGCGUUAGAAUAUUGAGAGGAGCCUUCUUUAGUACGAGAGGACCGAGAAGGACAUACCUCUGGUGUACCAGUUAUCGUGCCAACGGUAAACGCUGGGUAGCUAUGUAUGGAGUGGAUAACCGCUGAAAGCAUCUAAGUGGGAAGCCCACCUCAAGAUAAGUAUUCUCA